CCUACGGGGGGCAGCAGUGGGGAAUAUUGGACAAUGGGGGGAACCCUGAUCCAGCGACGCCGCGUGAGUGCAGAAGUAUUUCGGUAUGUAAAGCUCUAUCAGCAGGGAAGAAAAUGACGGUACCUGACUAAGAAGCCCCGGCAAACUACGUGCCAGCAGCCGCGGUAAUACGGAGGGGGCAAGGUUUAUCCGGCUUUAUUGGGUUAAAAGGGGGCGCAGGCGGAGGAACAAGUCAGCGAGAAAAUCGCGGGGCUCAACCCCGUUCCGCCAUUGAAACUGUGUCCCUUGAGUGCGCGAAGGGUAGGCGGAAUGCGUGGUGUAGCGGUGAAAUGCAUAGAUAUCACGCAGAACUCCGAUCGCGAAGGCAGCCUACCGGCGCGCAACUGACGCUCAUGCACGAAAGCGUGGGUAUCGAACAGGAUUAGAUACCCGGGUAGUC
rnacentral:rRNA from 1 species